UUCUUUCGCUCGCCAAAAUGGAAAGUGAGAGCGGCGGCUAAACAACAAAUGGUGUAGAGAUUUUUUCGAAGAUUCUAUCUUAGAUGCAAUUAAGUUUGGCGGUAGGAAGCAAAGAACAUGUUCCAAGGGUAUGGCGAAGCAAGAAGUCGUAUCUUUUUCGGUAUAGAAAAUCGUGUCCAAGAGGAAAGAUUCCAUGUGCGGUGUCAACGUCUCCACUGGGCAUGUCCGAUCUGGCGAUCCAAGAGGAAGAUAUCUUUCCAUCAAUAAACUCUAUUGUGAGAAUUCCUAAGGGGUAGACAUAAUUUCAGAGCGAGAGAAGUGUUGAGCGAUAAACUUUAAAGAUGUUUUCCGUGAGUGCUGUCAUAUUCGUCAAAGAUGGUGGAAGCAUAAGGUGGGGGAGAAAGUUCGAGAAAGUUUGAGAAAGUUGAAGGAACAUGUGUUUUUGUCCGAGCUUCCCAAGCUCUAUGCUGUUGGAGAACUCUGCAAGGAUCUUGCCACCUUCAGGGAAAAGCUUCAAAAGAGAGUAACAAAGAGGAAAAUCUGAAACAAAGAAGAAUCAAGAAGAUGAUAUCCUGAUGCCCGGCAAGCAAAAGCUUCUCCAAUGUUGGAAACCUUGAUCGGGAAAGACGCCUCGUUGUUCAUUCCCGAAGGAGAAAACUUUAUAGUAUUUUGUACAGUAGCCACCAUAUGCCAAAAACACUAAAUGUAUGAAUAUGUGACUAAAUCAGCUUCUAUGAAUUUUUCGACUUGUUUAUCGAGGCCCGGCCUACCAAUAAGCAGGAAAAGCAUUUGUUUUAGGCCACUGAAUGUUAACAAAUUUUAAGUCCACAUGUUCAAGAUUAUUGUGGUUAGUUGGUUAUGUAGCACAUUUUUGAGUCAAAGGUUUGUGGUUCGAGUCUUCCAUUUUACAAUUUUCUUGUUUCUCUUUUUCUUUUUUUCUCUCUUUUAC
rnacentral:sRNA from 1 species